CAGUCGAGGGGUAUAGUAGCAAUACUAGAGACCGGCGCACGGGUGCGUAACGCGUAUGCAAUCUACCUUUUGCAGAGGGAUAGCCCAGAGAAAUUUGGAUUAAUACCUCAUAGUAUUAUAGUAUGGCAUCAUAUUAUAAUUAAAGUCACAACGGCAAAAGAUGAGCAUGCGUCCCAUUAGUUAGUUGGUAAGGUAACGGCUUACCAAGACUACGAUGGGUAGGGGUCCUGAGAGGGAGAUCCCCCACACUGGUACUGAGACACGGACCAGACUCCUACGGGAGGCAGCAGUGAGGAAUAUUGGACAAUGGGCGCAAGCCUGAUCCAGCCAUGCCGCGUGCAGGAUGACGGUCCUAUGGAUUGUAAACUGCUUUUGUACAGGAAGAAACACCCCCUCGUGAGGGGGCUUGACGGUACUGUAAGAAUAAGGAUCGGCUAACUCCGUGCCAGCAGCCGCGGUAAUACGGAGGAUCCAAGCGUUAUCCGGAAUCAUUGGGUUUAAAGGGUCCGUAGGCGGCUUUAUAAGUCAGUGGUGAAAUCUCCCCGCUCAACGGGGAAACGGCCAUUGAUACUGUAAGGCUUGAAUUAUUAGGAAGUAACUAGAAUAUGUAGUGUAGCGGUGAAAUGCUUAGAGAUUACAUGGAAUACCAAUUGCGAAGGCAGGUUACUACUAAUGGAUUGACGCUGAUGGACGAAAGCGUGGGUAGCGAACAGGAUUAGAUACCCUGGUAGUCCACGCCGUAAACGAUGGAUACUAGCUGUUGGGGGCAACUUCAGUGGCUAAGCGAAAGUGAUAAGUAUCCCACCUGGGGAGUACGUUCGCAAGAAUGAAACUCAAAGGAAUUGACG
rnacentral:rRNA from 1 species